AUUGAACGCUGGCGGCAUGCCUUACACAUGCAAGUCGAACGGUAACAGGUUAAGCUGACGAGUGGCGAACGGGUGAGUAAUGUAUCGGAACGUGCCCAGUCGUGGGGGAUAACUGCUCGAAAGAGCAGCUAAUACCGCAUACGACCUGAGGGUGAAAGCGGGGGAUCGCAAGACCUCGCGCGAUUGGAGCGGCCGAUAUCAGAUUAGGUAGUUGGUGAGGUAAAGGCUCACCAAGCCGACGAUCUGUAGCUGGUCUGAGAGGACGACAAGCCACACUGGGACUGAGACACGGCCCAGACUCCUACGGGAGGCAGCAGUGGGGAAUUUUGGACAAUGGGCGCAAGCCUGAUCCAGCCAUGCCGCGUGCGGGAAGAAGGCCUUCGGGUUGUAAACCGCUUUUGUCAGGGAAGAAAAGGUUCUGGCUAAUACCUGGGACUCAUGACGGUACCUGAAGAAUAAGCACCGGCUAACUACGUG
rnacentral:rRNA from 1 species